rnacentral:rRNA from 1 species
AACGAACGCUGGCGGCAUGCCUAACACAUGCAAGUCGAACGAGAGCUGCGGGUCUAGUGGCGCACGGAUGCGUGACGGGGUGGAAACUGCCCUUAAGUUCGGAAUAACUCCCCGAAAGGGGUGCUAAUACGGGCUAAUGUCUUCGGACCAAAGAUUUAGCGCCUUUGGAUGAGCCCGCGUUGGAUUAGCUAGUUGGUAGGGUAAAAGCCUACCAAGGCGACGAUCCAUAGCUGGUCUGAGAGGAUGAUCAGCCACACUGGUACGGAGACACGGCCCAGACUACUACGGGAGGCAGCAGUGGGGAAUAUUGGACAACGGGCGAAAGCAUGAUCCAGCACUGCCGGGAGAGUGAUGAAGGCCUUAGGGUUGUAAAGCUCUUUUACCCCGGAUGAUAAUGACAGUACCGGGAGAAUAAGCACCGGCUAACUCCGUG